ACUUUACUGAAAUAUUUAUUCAUACAGUUUGCUUGGUGAUCAUGCGUAAAUUAUCUUUCCAUGAAAUAAUCGGUUUGUUCGCACCACAGAUAAAUUGUGAAAGACGUUAUCUAUGUUUCCAAUUUAGGCUCCAUAUGCCUGAAAAAAGCCAAUAUUAGGUAGAUACUAUUCCACUAUUUCAAACAUUGUUAUACUUUCAAUAAUACAACGUUACCCCUACUAAGCUACACACCUAAAUAUCUCAGCCAAGAUUAGUUGUCAGUUCUUGUCUAUCAUAUACAUCCUUCACAACGAAAGCUUUUGAACAUAUCCAUCCUACACACCAGCACAACAAAGAAGAGGUAGACACCUUAAACGGUGGAGCAAUGCACUUCCAUCGAACGAAUUCCCCACCAAAUCCUUCUCUUCUCACCACCACUGUCAAAAAUUCAAACUAUUCACAUCGUGUUCACCACCACCAUCUCCGAAAACCGAAAUCUCACCUAAUCACAUCGACAUCGUAUUCACCGUCACUUGACCAGAUUUGUUUCUCGUAUCCAUCAUGUUUAAUGCAACUGUCUCAGAAGGUUAUGGUGAGGUACAUCAUAGGCGAUGAUGAGUCUAUGUCAACGGCGGCAAAAACUGACUCUGAUUGGUAGAUGAUGAACUUUUGGACAACAUGGUUCGAAUUGUGUGUGAAUGUCAUGUUUUGAAGAACAUGAGGGCCAAAUGGCCAUCGAUUUGACCUUGCGGGAUGAGUAAAAACAGAAAGAAAAGGAAAGAGAGAGAUAAUCAUACUGAACUAAAUAUUAUUACAUUGAACAGAUCCUUGCUUUUUGAAUCCACAUGAGGAAAGAUCUUCUCAUUACAUUCGAACAAUUAUGGUAUCAAGUAUUAUAACUUUCACAUUUUAUAGUUAGAUACUAAGUUGAUACUUACCAGUUACAACCUAGCUUAUACUAGUCAUGAAUUUAUUACUGAUCUCAGCAGAGACCAUGUGCCAACCAAAGUGUGACCGCACCUUAUAUUCAUAGUUUAGAUGUCAUUUUGUUUGGCAGACCCUAAUAUAUUGCAUAGCACCUAACAUAACACUUACUCACAUAUAUAUAUAUAUUCUUGAGUCUGCCGUUUACAGCUUUUUGUUCAUUAAGUGGGAUUAAAUAUGUUACGUGACCCUAACAUAAUGAUUAAUGCCUAAGUUUCACAUACAUAUAUGUAAAAACCACAAAAUAAUUUCAGCUAACACGAUGUGCAAUUACUAUAUUCUACUGUUAUAUACUGUCUAAGAUACACAGAAUUAGCA